rnacentral:rRNA from 1 species
UACAGAGACUGCAAGCGUUAUUCGGAUUCACUGGGCGUAAAGCGUGCGCAGGCGGCUCCUUAAGUCAGAUGUGAAAUCCCCGGGCUUAACCUGGGAACUGCGUUUGAAACUGGGGAGCUAGAGUGUAGAAGAGGGGGUGGAAGUUCCAGGUGUAGCAGUGAAAUGCGUAGAGAUCUGGAGGAACACCGAUGGCGAAGGCAGCCCCCUGGGCUAACACUGGACGCUCAUGCACGAAAGCGUGGGGAGCAAACAGG